GUGCAAUGGCGUGCUCUCAACUCACUGCAACCUCCACUUCUCCGGUUCAAGUGAUUCUCCUGCCUCAACCUGCUGAAUAGCUGGUAUUACAGCGACACGCCACCGCGCCCAGCUAAUUUUUGUUAUUUUUAGUAGAGAUGGGGUUUCACCAUAUUGGCCUGGCUGGUCUUCGAACUCCUGGCCUCCUGUGAUCCGCCCACCUCAGCCUCCCAAAGUAUUGGGAUUACAGGUGUGAGCCACUGCUCCCAGUCUUUUUUUUUUGUUUAAUGAACUAGAAUGGAAGGGAAAAGAAAAGAGCAUUGCAAGAUGGAGUGAGGAAACCCAGCAAGGCCUGUCUGUCUAGAUUCUUCUUGGCCUCUCUGAGCAGCAUUUCUUCCUUCUGCGUAUGGGACAGGACCCUUUCUGGAAUGGGGGUCUUAUGACCUACAAUCAAACAAGUAUCUAACAUCCAAUUAAAAGAGGAGUCAUGGCUCAAUCCUCAAGAAAGAAACAUGAUUAUAUGGAGUCUUUGCCUUAUGUGGACACAG
rnacentral:lncRNA from 1 species